rnacentral:lncRNA from 1 species
ACGAAAUCUACUAACGGUAGAUUAUCCACAGCAUUCAGCUGUAUAUUUUCAUAUUAGCACUACUUUGCUAGCAUUACAUACGUGGGCAAAGUUCUCAACUUCAAAAUCGUGAACUGUCACGAAGUAGAAGUCAGUUUGUUCGACAAAGGUUUCACACCUUCGGACACCUUGGCAACAUGAAGCCCACAAGAACUGCAAAAGCAGAGCUUGCAGUGUGCUGCGUGAAAUUGCCAUGAUGGAGCAGGGUCACAGAAACAAUGGCAUCCCAAACCUCAGUUUGGGACUUUCAAGGAGAAGACCGACAGUGCAGUCAGUUUGCGUCAUUUAUUCAUCAAGUCACAGCACAUCCUUGGACGUAAAGUGACUUGCUCCGUUUCCAUAAAUGUGAACCACUUGCACUCACUCCAGUGCCACACCAAACUUCAUGCCUGACAACCGAUCGAACGUCAACCACACACUCACACACAACCAUCCUCCCCAGGCACACAAAAAUACUCGAAGUUAACUCAUCACACAGCUAACAUUUUAUUCAAUCUAUAACCAGUAAGAAGACAGCCUCAUUAUAUAAUGGUUUCCCAGCAAUCAUUCCAAGUGCUCUAUGCCCAUCUCUGUUCUAGCAACACGCCUUCCAACACUCAAGGUGGCAUAAUAGGCCAACUGCCCUUGUAAUAUGCUGCAAUGAAGCUAUCUCUGACCAUAUGAUGUCGCCCUCAAUUACAAUCCUAGGAACAGAAAAAAUUAAUUGUGUGUACCACGCACAAAUAACCACAAUCUUUUGUAGGAGCUCAGUGCAACUGUUUGCAGAAACCUAAGCUCUAAAAAAUACACCAUUUCCUAUGAAUAGCCAUCACCAAGGCUUGGCUGCUGUUCCCUAAUCAAGCGUGGUGUGCGGUUUCCCUGCAAUGCUCUCUCGCGUUAGCGUGAAGCCACCCGCAAAGGUGGAAUUCACACACGACUCUCAAUCGCACUUUGUGAUACAUUUUUUUUAAAUAUCUGACGCUCUCACUCGUGGUACAUCCGACAUUUCCCAAACUGCUCGACUGUUGAUAAGUGACAAUUGGGCAAAACGAAUAUGCAAACAGAAAGAAGACUAUAUGUGCAAUGUGCCAAUUAGCAAUUAACCACUGCCUAACUACCGCAAAAGCUCCUUCUAACACAGUGUGCAUCAAGCCGUCAUACAAAAGUUUACAGCAUUAAAUCUACAGAUGCUAAUUCACACUUAGAUGCGCAUCAGGGACAUUCCUCUCAUUGCAAAAAAAGAAGUCUAAGAGCACACAGUAAUGAUAUUCCGCAGCGCAGUAUACAGUGCAAGCGGCCAAUGUGGAGAACCUUGACUUAAUUGACGGACUGAAUAAUCGAAUGAAAAACUAUUUUAUAGCAAUGCUCAGGUAUAAGAAACAGCAUAGCCUUAUGUUGAAUUCCAAUGGCGGAGCCGGAGCAGCCAACGGACUCCGCAAGCGAGCACUCGACUCUGGGGCAGAGCAAUGCCUCCAAAUCCGCGAGUGGAACACAACCUGCGCCGCCGGAGCAAGGCGGAAGCGGAAGUUCUAUCUUUCUGGCGCUGAGUUACCCAGGAUACCUUGUGUGUUGUCAUUCCCUUCCGCUGUUUGCUCACAGCACCUCCGCACCGGUCACUUGUCUAUUCAGCGCCGUUCACCUGCUGCUUAAAAGUGCGGAAUGGAUAUCUCGCCAAGCGCGCAGCAGAUUUUUCUUCCGCUCGAGUCG